AACGAACGCUGGCGGCAUGCCUAACACAUGCAAGUCGAACGAGACCUUCGGGUCUAGUGGCGCACGGGUGCGUAACGCGUGGGAACCUGCCCUUAGGUUCGGAAUAACUCCCCGAAAGGGGUGCUAAUACCGGAUAAUGUCUUCGGACCAAAGAUUUAUCGCCUUUGGAUGGGCCCGCGUUGGAUUAGCUAGUUGGUAGGGUAAAAGCCUACCAAGGCGACGAUCCAUAGCUGGUCUGAGAGGAUGAUCAGCCACACUGGGACUGAGACACGGCCCAGACCAGGGCGGGAGGAGGGGGUGAGAAUGAUGAGAAAGGGUGCGAAAGCCGGAUCCAGCGAUGCGGGGUGGGUGAGGACGCGUGGGUGUUGAUGAAGCCUUACUGGCCGGGAUGAAAAGAAGAGUACCGGAAUAGUAAGCCCGGGCUAACCCGGUGGCAGCAGCCGCGGUAUUGGAUUGAGGAGAACUCAUCUACC
rnacentral:rRNA from 1 species